AGUCCAGACUCCUACGGGAGGCAGCAGUGGGGAAUAUUGCACAAUGGGGGGAACCCUGAUGCAGCGACGCCGCGUGGGUGAAGGAGCACUUCGGUGCGUAAAGCCCUAUCGGCAGGGAAGAAACAGACGGUACCUGACUAAGAAGCCCCGGCUAGCUACGUGCCAGCAGCCGCGGGAAUACGUAGGGGGCAAGCGUUAUCCGGAUUCACUGGGUGUAAAGGGAGCGUAGACGGCGACGCAAGUCUGGAGUGAAAGCCCGGGGCCCAACCCCGGGACUGCUCUGGAAACUGCGGCGCUGGAGUACGGGAGGGGCAGGCGGAAUUCCUGGUGUAGCGGUGAAAUGCGUAGAUAUCAGGAGGAACACCGGCGGCGAAGGCGGCCUGCUGGACCGUGACUGACGUUGAGGCUCGAGAGCGUGGGGAGCAAACAGGAUUAGAUACCCCAGUAUU
rnacentral:rRNA from 1 species